UCCUGCCCAGUGACAUAGUUCAACGGCCGCGGUAUCCUAACCGUGCAAAGGUAGCAUAAUCACUUGUCUAUUAAUUGUAGACUAGAAUGAAAGGAAAAACAAAAUAUAAGCUGUCUCUAUAGAAUAAGUAAAAAUUAAUUUCUAACUGAGUGUUAGAUAAUAUCGAAGGACAAGAAGACCCUAUGGAGCUUUAUCUUAACAAGAAAUAAUUUACAGGAUUCGGUUGGGGCGACCAAGGAUAUCAUUAAUCAUCCUUCAUUAAUAGAUUUAUAAAUCCAAAUUUUGAUAGUUAAAACCAAGCUACCUUAGGGAUAACAGGCUAAUCCUGCUUGAGAGUCCUUAUCUAAAGCAGGGAUUGGCACCUCGAUGUUGGCUUAGGGAAACUAUGUGACGCAAAAGUCAUAUAAAGAUGGUUUGUUCAACCAAUAAAACCCUACAUGAGCUGAGUUCAGACCGGCGUAAGCCAGGUUAGUUUCUAUCCACGAUCCUAUCUAUAGUACGAAAGGACCUAGAUAAGGGUAAAUCAAUAAAUGAAUUAAUAUAAUUAUUUAUCAAAACUAAAUACUAU
rnacentral:rRNA from 1 species